CAUCAUGUGAGUGUGAGAUUGCUCUGGAUUCUGGUUAUGUGGCCUGCAGCACCUAUAAGAACAAGCUCGUACAGUGUGCCUGCAUUCCAGCUUCUUAGACUCUACGCAAGUGGACAGAGUGUCAGUGUUUGGCCACUCUUACAGACACCGACUUCUGUCAACUCACUGCUACUGAUCAGGUACCUCACUCCAGGAACAGAGGGGUGCAAGCCUGUCAUCGUUUCCAGUGUGGCUUUGAAUUCUUGGGGUAGCAUCAGAUUUUUCCCACAAAUAUUCAAAGAUUUAUAUGCAGUGAUCGGAUGUGGUGGAGCUUUGUUAACUGUGUGGAAAACAUCUGUUUGUGAUGCUAUUUACAAUGAGGCUUUAAGGUGACAGUUUCCAUGUAAUUUCAAUCUUUUUACUAAGCAAAAACAUGUUUGCAAUUAACAUAUUUUUUCAGUUUUGUCUUUUGGA